rnacentral:misc_RNA from 1 species
GGAAUAAAAGUCGUAACAAGGUUUCCGUAGGUGAACCUGCGGAAGGAUCAUUACAGAGUUCAUGCCCUCACGGGUAGAUCUCCCACCCUUGAAUAUUUAUACCUUAGUUGCUUUGGCAGGCCGUGGAAACACCAUGGGCUCCGGCUUAUGCGUGCCUGCCAGAGGAAACAAACUCUGUUUUUAGUGAUGUCUGAGUACUAUAUAGCAGUUAAAACUUUCAACAACGGAUCUCUUGGUUCUG